AUGAGUAACAAAGUUAAUUUGAGUAGAGUAAAGUUUACAAAUCUUGAAAAACAAAAUUGUUUGGCGGUAAAAGACAUAAACAGAGGUACAUGCUCUUAAUCGAAACUGCACGAUAAAUCUUUCCAAACCUUGAAAAGUUUCUUCAUUUUAUACACAGCCGUCAGAAGAAAAAGCAUAACAGCUUCUUCACUAUUUCUUUAUUAAAGAAGUAAGUCAGGUAAAUGUAUAAACAAUGAUUUGGAAAUAGGUGUGUUCCAUUGAUAUAUAUAUAAUACUCGUGAAAGGAUUAUUGAAAAAUUCCCUAGUAAAAGAAUUUGUUAGUAAAUAUUGUUU
rnacentral:rRNA from 1 species